rnacentral:rRNA from 1 species
CACGUAGGGCGCAAGCGUUGUCCGGAAUUAUUGGGCGUAAAGAGCUCGUAGGCGGUCUGUUGCGUCCGCUGUGAAAACUCGGGGCUUAACCCCGAGCCUGCAGUGGAUACGGGCAGACUAGAGGUAGGUAGGGGAGAAUGGAAUUCCCGGUGUAGCGGUGAAAUGCGCAGAUAUCGGGAGGAACACCGGUGGCGAAGGCGGCAUCCUGGACCAUUAUUGACGCUGAGGAGCGAAAGCCAGGGGAGCAAACAGG